rnacentral:rRNA from 1 species
GGCCUUUCUGGACAGUACUGACGCUGAGAUGCGAAAGCGUGGGGAGCAAACAGGAUUAGAUACCUGGUAGUCACGCUGUAAACGAUGUCGAUUUGGAGUUUGUGCCUAGGGUAUGGGCUCCGAAGCUAACGCGAUAAAUCGACCGCUGGGGAGUACGGCCGCAAGGUUAAAACUCAAAUGAAUUGACGGGGGCCCGCACAGCGGUGGAGCAUGUGGUUUAUUUCGAUGCAACGCGAAGAACCUUACCUGGUCUUGACAUCCAUAGAAUUCUGCAGAGAUGUGGGAGUGCCUUCGGGAACUAUGAGACAGGUGCUGCAUGGCUGUCGUCAGCUCGUGUUGUGAAAUGUUGGGUUAAGUCCCGCAACGAGCGCAACCCUUAUUCUUUGUUGCCAGCGAUUUGGUCGGGAACUCAAAGGAGACUGCCGUUGAUAAAGCGGAGGAAGGUGGGGACGACGUCAAGUCAUCAUGGCCCUUACGACCAGGGCUACACACGUGCUGCAAUGGCGUAUACAAAGGGAAGCGAAGGUGCGAGCUGGAGCGGAUCUCAUAAAGUACGUCUAAGUUCGGAUUGGAGUCUGCAACUCGACUCCAUGAAGUCGGAAUCGCUAGUAAUCGUAGAUCAGAAUGCUACGGUGAAUACGUUCCCGGGCCUUGUACACACCGCCCGUCACACCAUGGGAGUGGGUUGCACCAGAGGUAGAUAGCUUAACCGCGAGGGGGGCGUUUACCACGGUGUGAUUCAUGACUGGGGUGAAGUCGUAACAAGGUAACCA